rnacentral:rRNA from 1 species
AGUGAACGCUGGCGGUAGGCCUAACACAUGCAAGUCGAACGGCAGCACAGUAAGAGCUUGCUCUUACGGGUGGCGAGUGGCGGACGGGUGAGGAAUACAUCGGAAUCUACUUUUUCGUGGGGGAUAACGUAGGGAAACUUACGCUAAUACCGCAUACGACCUACGGGUGAAAGCAGGGGAUCUUCGUACCUUGCGCGAUUGAAUGAGCCGAUGUCGGAUUAGCUAGUUGGCGGGGUAAAGGCCCACCAAGGCGACGAUCCGUAGCUGGUCUGAGAGGAUGAUCAGCCACACUGGAACUGAGACACGGUCCAGACUCCUAAGGGAGGCAGCAGUGGGGAAUAUUGGACAAUGGGCGCAAGCCUGAUCCAGCCAGACCGCGUGGGUGAAGAAGGCCUUCGGGUUGUAAAGCCCUUUUGUUGGGAAAGAAAAGCAGCAGGUUAAUACCCCGCUGUUCUGACGGUACCCAAAGAAUAAGCACCGGCUAACUUCGUG